GCGGGAGUGGCGGAAUUGGCAGACGCGCUGGAUUUAGGAUCCAGUGGGUUAUACCAUAAGGGUUCAAAUCCCUUCUCCCGCACCA
rnacentral:tRNA from 1 species